AAAGGUGCAAGGGCGCGACCACAGUUGCCGGCGAAAUGCUAAUGCAAGCGCCAUAGACGAGGCACAAAGGAUAGACAAGCCACAAAGCUUUACACAUAUAUGUGUAAAGUCACAUAAAUCCGAUAAACGAUGGCCAGCUCGCUUGGACGCACGGUCCAGGAAAUCUCAAGUUCCGAAGGCCUCCGCAAGCCUAAUUUUCUCAUGAAGAUUGUAUCGAUAGGAAAUGUUUCAAGCGACUGGGAAGUCCGGCGGUAGGGACCAUCGGCUCCACCGACAAACCGGAAUAUCGGACGAUAAACACACAAACAGGCUACACUGCGCAGCUAUUCCCACACGACUUCAUGUAUAGAUGCUACUGCACGGCUUCAUGUAUGGAAGCUGCUAAGUGUAGCGCCAUUUAUUCCGCUCAAAGAGAAUGCCACCCAAAGGUUACGCGCAUAAGAGCCUUAGUGCCUCUUCACCUAUCUGGUAAAUGUAAAUAUGCCUGAGGAUAAUAAUGAAUCACUUAGUUCGAUAGAAACUAACGACUCCUGGCUUGGCGAAAUCGUUUGGGGCGACAUUCCCAUAAGUGACAGCGGCAGCGACACCGAGAGCGACACUGACAGUUUAUCUGGUGGCGAGACAGCGCCCAAGCUCAUGUGCGCCGUAUGGCUUCUCCCCCGUCAGAAACCAUUCAAUACCGUUUGUGUCGUUCUUGGCGAAUGGCUCCGCGUCCCGCAGGGCCCGCGCCAGAAUCCUUCCCCGCCACAUCCGGAUAUGCCGGCGUUCAUGGAGUUCCCGCGGCCGCGGUAGCCUGAACGGCAGGCGCAGCGGCGGCGGGGCCUAGCAACGCAUCAGCAGCGGCAGCGACGGCGACGGCGGUGGGGCUGGGAGGUGCGGUAGCUUCAACGGCAGGCGCGGCGGCAGCGGGGCCUAGCAACACAGCAGCAGCAGCAGCAGCAGCGAUGGUGGUGGGGCUGGGAGGUGCGGUAGCCUGGAUGGCAGGCGUGGCGGCGGCCGCAAGCGGGCGCCUGAGACGGAGGAGGAGGACACGGUGACAGGCACGCAGCGCCGGCCGGGUCGGUCGGCGGCAGGGUGGCGGGUGGUGGGCCUGCCCCCCCUGCCGCCGUGUGCACGCACUCAGCCGGCGGUGGCGGGAUCGGCGCGGCGACGUCGGGCAUGGCAGCGGUGGGCCUGACCGAGGCCGCCAUGUUGCUGGAUGAUGCUGAUUAUUACUGUGUGAUUGUGGAGUUGCGUUAGGACUUUAGCUCCCUUGCCCGUAUGCAGGAACCCGUAAGGUUUGCUUUUGUUUGCCGACUGGGCUUUAACGCAACCAAGUUGUGAUGGUUUCUUUGCGAGGUGCGGUUGACGAUCUAGGGCCACUGUAGGCUCGCGCAGCCCACUAGGGUGCGAGGUACUUUGGGUGAUGCAGGCAGACUUGACUCAGUUUGAACGAUGCGCCAUGAUUUUCUUCAUUUCAGUUGAUGAAAACAUCCUAUCUUAAGCCCUGAGUUCCUUUCUAGGCUUUGCACUGGGCCCUUGGGUGGCACUUGAAUGACACUGACAACUGCGGUCGCACCUUGUGUCCUCAGCUCAGGUUACAUCAACAUUAUCAUAGAAAGACUCAUAAGCUGGCCGGCGGCACCAACGGCCACUCCUGGGCGGCCUCACCUUGACCGGGGAACCCCCGGCCAUCUUUCAAAAAGUCGUGCGCAAGUCGUACGUGUCUUGCGGUUUUAUGCUCGGCUUGAACUGUUGUGUAAGUGAUAAGUGAUUUGAAAAGUUAAUCCUUGCAUAGCACGUCAGCCUCAGGCAAAAGUGGAAGCUACGGUUGUGUAACGGUGAGACGCCGCAUCUUUGUUUUCCGCAUGGCGCAGCUGCCGCUUCCAGCCGCAGCCUCUGGGGGCCACUUCCCCGAAACCUCUACUCACUCCGGCCAGACUCCAGAGCACAUGCCGAAUGCGAUACUGACAAAGCUGUCAAAAAUGAAAUACAGAAUCGAAGCUUGUGAAGCAACGCCGCUUCCUAGUGCGCCCGUGUGAAACAGGACCGGAAAGCGGGCGUGGUUGUGCAAGAAAACCUGCCACGGACCUCUCACCCACACCCGCACCGCCUCCACCUUCAUGAGCGGCUAGCAAUCGGGACCCGCACACAGUCCCACACUGACUCCCUACGCCUAGCUUCCCCCUCAUGGCAUUUACUUCUUAAGCGACACCAGCAGCUGUCCCGCCUCGUUCUUCGAGGAUUUGCACAGUGACACAGUGAGGCCUUUGAGACCCGCACGCAGCUCCGGAGUGGUGGUGCGCUUGGCGAAGUAGCGGGUGAAGUCCUGCACGAGGCGCAGUUGGGGGCGACCAGGACGGGAAAUGCACUCGCGUAAUGCGCACGCACACACACACGAUACACAUGACACACAGGUGCAGACAUGUGUGCACACGCUUCUCCCCGAAGGAACAUGCCCUUCAAAACGCUAUGGGCCAUUCAGCCAAUACUCGUCCAUAAUACCCGUUAUGCUCGAGUGAUACCUACUGACUUAGGUGACGUUCCUUUUUAACAGAUACACACCUGUUGGUGGUCAGCUUGCCAAGUGGUUAGGGGAUUCCUCUGUGUUCCUCACCGCCACCCAGUUCGCACAGCACUUGCACAGCACACAUUUGUAUGCAUUUGUAAACACAAAGACACAAGUACAGACACACAGACAUACACACUCAACCGACACACAGCACAGCAGGGCACCUGGAAUGGCAUAAUUCCAUUGGGUUGGCGUCGGAGCAACUCGAUGACCUCCUCCGCGGUGACGGCCGGUCCAGCAGCUCCUCCUCCUCCCCCUCCUGCAGCGGCAGCAGCCGGGGCACCCUGAGCGGGCCGCUGCAUAGACAGGGCGGCCGCACUGGCACCAGCAGCAGGCGCCGCCCCUGCCGCAGCCGGCCUGGCAGCCGCUGCCACGGGACCUGCUUGCGUGGCGCCUGCCGCCGGCUGAGGAAGCGGUGGCGUGGCCGUACGCGCGCG
rnacentral:lncRNA from 1 species